GAUGAACGCUAGCGGCAGGCUUAAUACAUGCAAGUCGAGGGGCAGCGCAGUGUAGCAAUACAUGGGCGGCGACCGGCAAACGGGUGCGGAACACGUACGCAACCUUCCUUUAAGUGGGGGAUAGCCCAGGGAAACUUGGAUUAAUACCCCGUAACAUAAUGAAGUGGCAUCACUUUAUUAUUAUAGCUCCGGCGCUUAAAGAUGGCAGUGCGGCUGAUUAGGUAGUUGGCGGGGUAACGGCCCACCAAGCCUGCGAUCAGUAACUGGUGUGAGAGCACGACCAGUCACACGGGCACUGAGACACGGGCCCGACUCCUACGGGAGGCAGCAGUAAGGAAUAUUGGGCAAUGGACGCAAGUCUGACCCAGCCAUGCCGCGUGGAGGAUGAAGGUCCUCUGGAUUGUAAACUUCUUUUAUAUGGGACGAAAAAGGGUCUUUCUAGAUCAACUGACGGUACCAUAUGAAUAAGCACCGGCUAACUCCGUGCCAGCCGCCGCGGUAACAC
rnacentral:rRNA from 1 species